rnacentral:rRNA from 1 species
AUGCGUCUAUUACUAGAUGACAAGAAAGAGCUAAUAAAUGCGCGGAGGCGGGCAUGGUAUCUUAAGAACAAGGAAAGUGCUGACAUUAACAAGGAACAGCUGAAAGCUCCAGGGGUAGAUGGUUAUCGAAAAAAAUAUGAUGAACACGACGGCAAGCAUCUCCAUCAAAAUAUGCCUGCCGUUGACACGUCGGGUAUACAAAAUGUUCGAUGUAGCGCUCUCGGUGAUAUCACUAAUGGGGUGCAAGCUCACUCUAUGCUCCUUCUCCAAAAAAUAGCCAGAAAAAGGCUCAAGGGAGAACUACCGUGA